GACAAGGCUGGAACUUGAUUUUCUCACCUUUUUAAUGAUUAAGGGGGAGGAAAUUAGGAAAUUAAUAAUACUUUACUUAAGUUUGUGUUAUCUGCUUAAGUACAUUAUUGGCCCUAAGUUUUUAUUUGCUUUAAGACUAAGUUGUUCUGUGCUGGUUGGAUUUGAAUUUGGUGAUCUCAGGUGGUUUAUCCUGAGUUAAUUUGUUUAAGUUGUUUGGAUAAUAUUUUGGAUACCAGGUGGUUUAUCCUGGUUAGGAUUAUUUGAAAUAUCUAUGCAAUUUGCUUUGAUUAAUUGUUUCUGUGUUAAAUUUUGCAUAUCUGUGAAUUAGAGAUAUUUGUUAGAUUUUAUUCUCUGUGAUAAUUGUGAAAGUUUAGUGAUAUUAGAUUGCUAUAUUUAGGGGGAGUUUAUUACUUUUCCUAAUAUAGUGUAAUCAUCAAAAAGGGGGAGAUUG
rnacentral:lncRNA from 1 species